AAACCAAAGGAAUUGAGGGCCCGCACAAGCAGCGGAGCGUGUGGUUUAAUUCGAUGUUACACGAAGAACCUUACCAGGGUUUGACAUGCAAGUGGUAGGAAGCCGAAAGGUGACCGACCCUUCGGGGAGCUUGCACAGGUGCUGCAUGGCUGUCGUCAGCUCGUGUCGUGAGAUGUUCGGUUAAGUCCGCUAACGAGCGCAACCCUCGCUGUGUGUUAUAUGUGUCACACGGGACUGCCGGUCUUAGGCCGGGGGAAGGUGGGGAUGAUGUCAAGUCAGCAUGGCCUUUAUAUCCUGGGCUACACACACGCUACAAUGGCCAACACAAUAGGUUGCUAAGCCGCGAGGUGGCGCCAAUCCAUAAAGUUGGUCUCAGUUCAGAUUGUAGGCUGCAACCCGCCUGCAUGAAGAUGGAGUUGCUAGUAACCGCAGGUCAGCUAUACUGCGGUGAAUACGUUCCCGGGGCUU
rnacentral:rRNA from 1 species